CGCCCUUAGAGUUUGAUCAUGGCUCAGAUUGAACGCUAGCGGGAUGCCUUACACAUGCAAGUCGAACGGCAACGGACUUCGGUCUGGGCGAGUGGCGAACGGGUGAGUAAUGUAUCGGAACGUGCCCAGUAGCGGGGGAUAACUACGCGAAAGCGUAGCUAAUACCGCAUACGCCCUACGGGGGAAAGCAGAUCGUUGCACUAUUGGAGCGGCCGAUAUCGGAUUAGCUAGUUGGUGGGGUAACGGCUCACCAAGGCGACGAUCCGUAGCUGGUUUGAGAGGACGACCAGCCACACUGGGACUGAGACACGGCCCAGACUCCUACGGGAGGCAGCAGUGGGGAAUUUUGGACAAUGGGGGAAACCCUGAUCCAGCCAUCCCGCGUGUGCGAUGAAGGCCUUCGGGUUGUAAAGCACUUUUGGCAGGAAAGAAACGUCAUGGGUAAUCCCGUGAACUGACGGUACCUGCAGAAUAAGCACCGGCUAACUACGUGCCAGCAGCCGCGGUAAUACGUAGGGUGCAAGCGUUAAUCGGAAUUACUGGGCGUAAAGCGUGCGCAGGCGGUUCGGAAAGAAAGAUGUGAAAUCCCAGAGCUUAACUUUGGAACUGCAUUUUUAACUACCGGGCUAGAGUGUGUCAGAGGGAGGUGGAAUUCCGCGUGUAGCAGUGAAAUGCGUAGAUAUGCGGAGACACCGAUGGCGAAGGCAGCCUCUGGGAUACACUGACGCUCAUGCACGAAGCGUGGGGAGG
rnacentral:rRNA from 1 species